AUGGGCUGCUGGUGGGAGCGCCUCGUACUGCCGGUGCGCAGGGCGUGGCUCGGCGUCGCCUCCCGCUUCGGUGUGCGCCAGUCCGGGCUGUGGAGGCUCCGGCAGGAGGUGAGCACGUGCGAGUACGAGGACGUGCGCGUGAUGUGGGAGAUGCUGAGCCGCACCGCGUCCGCGCCGCCGCCGCCGCCGGCAAGGCGCCACAGCAGGUUCCGGCAGCCGCGGCCGUGGGCCGACAGGCUCCGCCUCUGCCGGGACAUCUAG
rnacentral:rRNA from 1 species